CACCUAUAUGGCAACUUCAGAAAGUGGAAUAUCCCAGCAACCAUAGGGUUUACAGUCAUGAAACUUCACACGCUAGUAGCUGAUAACAAUACAAAUCAGUGGCUAAAAGGAUAUUUCCAAGGCGAUGAAUUCCAUAUGUCAGUAGGAAUUUAGAAUCGUACAACCAGUCAGCAGCUACCCAUAAACCAGACCAACCUAUUAAGUCGAGCGGGCAGAAGCUGUGAUUCCCAGUGUAACACCGCAGAAUGACGGCUAGUUUUCGGAUUACAUUUCUGUGCGGAAGGAUUAAAAAACUACACCAGACUGGUGGCCAUGACAGAUGUCAGUGGGAAAUUUAAACAUGGACUAGAUACUUUGAUGUGUAGCAAAAAAGUUCAUCGUUGAUGGUGGUGUUUUUCUGUGAUAUAUUGACUGGGAUAAUAUUACUCUUCAGAAAUACAGAGCUGUCAAUGCU